CCUACGGGUGGCUGCAGUGGGGAAUAUUGGACAAUGGGGGCAACCCUGAUCCAGCCAUGCCGCGUGUGUGAAGAAGGCCCUCGGGUUGUAAAGCACUUUCAGUGAGGAAGAACGCCUGGUGGUUAAUACCCAUCAGGAAAGACAUCACUCACAGAAGAAGCACCGGCUAACUCCGUGCCAGCAGCCGCGGUAAUACGGAGGGUGCGAGCGUUAAUCGGAAUUACUGGGCGUAAAGCGCGCGUAGGUGGCUUGAUAAGCCGGUUGUGAAAGCCCCGGGCUCAACCUGGGAACGGCAUCCGGAACUGUCAAGCUAGAGUGCAGGAGAGGAAGGUAGAAUUCCCGGUGUAGCGGUGAAAUGCGUAGAGAUCGGGAGGAAUAACAGUGGCGAAGGCGGCCUUCUGGACUGACACUGACACUGAGGUGCGAAAGCGUGGGUAGCAAACAGGAUUAGAUACCCCAGUAGUC
rnacentral:rRNA from 1 species